rnacentral:rRNA from 1 species
GACGAACGCUGGCGGCGUGCUUAACACAUGCAAGUCGAACGAUGAAGCUGGAGCUUGCUCCGGUGGAUUAGUGGCGAACGGGUGAGUAACACGUGAGCAAUCUGCCCUUGACUCUGGGAUAACUGCGGGAAACUGUAGCUAAUACCGGAUACGAGACCUGAAGGCAUCUUCGGGUCUGGAAAGAAUUUCGGUCAAGGAUGAGCUCGCGGCCUAUCAGCUGGUCGGUGAGGUAAUGGCUCACCAAGGCGACGACGGGUAGCCGGCCUGAGAGGGUGACCGGCCACACUGGGACUGAGACACGGCCCAGACUCCUACGGGAGGCAGCAGUGGGGAAUAUUGCACAAUGGGCGAAAGCCUGAUGCAGCAACGCCGCGUGAGGGAUGAAGGCCUUCGGGUUGUAAACCUCUUUUAGCAGGGAAGAAGCGAAAGUGACGGUACCUGCAGAAAAAGCACCGGCUAACUACGUGCCAGCCGCCGCAGUAA